CCAAGCUACAAAGAGUCAACGGUGGAUGCCUUGGCGUCUAAAGCCGAAGAAGGACGUGGGCGACUGCGAUAAACCAUGGGGAGCUGUCUACCGAGCAUUGAUCCAUGGGUGUCCGAAUAGGAAAACCUUGCACCCGUUAUGGGGUGUAACUCCCGCCUGAAUAUAUAGGGCGGGUAGAGGGAACCGGGUGAAUUGAAACAUCUCAGUAACCCGAGGAGAGGAAAACAAAAGUGACUCCCUGAGUAGCGGCGAGCGAAACGGGAAGAGCCUAAACCGAGCUGGUGUUAAAGCACUGGGCGUUGCCAGUUCGGGGUUGUGGGAUUUACUAGAAGGAACCAGCAACCUUCACAGAGUUACAAAAUUGAUACGUAGCAGAAUUACCUGGAAAGGUAAACCAAAGGGGGUAACAGUCCCGUACGCGAAACGUUGAGAUCUCUGAGUGAACACCCGAGUAACGCCGGAUCCGGGAAAGCCGGCGUGAAUCUGUCAGGACCAUCUGAUAAGGCUAAGUACUCAUAGACGACCGAUAGUGAACAAGUACCGUGAGGGAAAGGUGAAAAGUACCCCGGGAGGGGAGUGAAAUAGAACCUGAAACCGUUGAUUUACAAUCAGUUAGAGAGUCGUCAUGUCUACGGACAUGGCCUCGAUAGCGUGCCUUUUGAAGAAUGAGCCAGCGAGUUGUGGUACGUGGCGAGGUUAACCCGAGAGGGGUAGCCGAAGCGAAAGCGAGUCUGAAUAGGGCGUUGAGUCGCAUGCUGUAGACCCGAAGCCGAGUGAGCUAGCCAUGGGCAGGCUGAAGCGGGGGUAAGACCCCGUGGAGGGCCGAACCCACCCUGGUUGAAAACAGGGGGGAUGACCUGUGGUUAGGGGUGAAAGGCCAAUCAAACUCGGUGAUAGCUGGUUCUCCCCGAAAUGCAUUUAGGUGCAGCGUCGGGUGUUCAGCAUCGGAGGUAGAGCACUGGAUGGGCUAGGGGGCCUACAAGCUUACUGACCCCAACCAAACUCCGAAUGCCGAUGCUCCAGAGACUGGCAGUGAGACCACGGGGGAUGAGCUUCGUUGGUCGAGAGGGAAACAGCCCAGAUCUACAGCUAAGGCCCCAAAUUCUGGACUAAGUGGAAAACGAUGUGAGAACGCUCAGACAGCCAGAAGGUUGGCUUAGAAGCAGCCAUCCUUUAAAGAGUGCGUAAUAGCUCACUGGUCGAGUGGUCUUGCGCGGACAAUGUAACGGGGCUCAAGUCCAGAGCCGAAGCUUAGAAUUGCGCAUUUAUGCGUAGUGGUAGGGGAGCGUCGAAUUUGCUGUGAAGCGGAGGUGUAAACCUACGUGGAGCGUAUUCGAGUGAGAAUGCUGGUAUGAGUAGCGAGAGAGGGGUGAGAAACCCCUCCGCCGUAAGCCCAAGGGUUCCUGGGGAAGGCUAAUCCCCCCAGGGUAAGUCGGGAGCUAAGGCGAGGCCGAGAGGCGUAGUCGAUGCACAACAGGUUGAUAUUCCUGUACCGCCAUGUACACGUCCAAACCAAUGUGGGAGUACUAAGGGGCUGACCUUCGGGUCGAACUGACAAAUCCUGCGGCGGUUAGCGAAGGAGGGACGGAGGAGGAUAGGUGAGCCCAGGCGUUGGUUGUCCUGGGGUAAGUGCGUAGGGCGAGGUGUAGGCAAAUCCGCACCUCAUGUGCCUGAGACACGAUGCCGAGCCAAUAGGCGAAGUCACUGAUUCCAUGCUCCCAAGAAAAUCUUCUAGCGAGUUGACAUGGCGCCCGUACCCCAAACCGACACAGGUGGAUGGGUAGAGAAUACCAAGGCGAUCGGGAGAACUCUAGUUAAGGAACUCGGCAAAAUACAUCCGUAACUUCGGGAGAAGGAUGGCCCUCUUAGUGUGAAGGACUUCGCGUCCGGAGCAUGAAAGGGUCGCAGAGAAUUGUGGGAAGCGACUGUUUACCAAAAACACAGGAGCGUGCUAAGUCGUAAGACGCCGUAUACGCUCUGACGCCUGCCCGGUGCUGGAAGGUUACGGGGAUCGGUUAGCCGCAAGGCGAAGCUGAGAACCUAAGCCCCAGUAAACGGCGGCCGUAACUAUAACGGUCCUAAGGUAGCGAAAUUCCUUGUCGGGU
rnacentral:rRNA from 1 species